rnacentral:tRNA from 1 species
GCCUGGCUGGCUCAGCAGGUGGAGCCUGCGACUCUUGACCUCCGGGUUGUGGGUUCGAGCCCCAUGUCGGGUG